AUUGAACGCUGGCGGCAGGCCUAACACAUGCAAGUCGAGCGAGAGGCGGCCGGGUGAGUAAUGUAUGGGGCCUGCCAGAUAGAGGGGGAUAACUAAUGGAAACGGUAGCUAAUACCGCAUACUAUCGGAUAACCCAUAUGGGAGUUGCUGGGUGGUGUGGUGAUGGCCCACCAAGGCGACGAUCCCUAGCUGGUUUGAGAGGAAGACCAGCCAAACGGGGACUGAGACACGGCCCAGACUCCUACGGAGGCAGCAGUGGGGAAUAGUGCACAAUGGGCGCAAGCCUGGUGCAGCCAUGCCGCGUGUAUGAAGAAGGCCUUAGGGUUGUAAAGUACUUUCAGCGGUGAGGCGUUACCCGCAGAAGAAGCACCGGCUAACUCCGUGCCAGCCGCCGCGGUAAUUC
rnacentral:rRNA from 1 species